rnacentral:lncRNA from 1 species
AAAAAAAACUUUAAAAAAUUAAAUGAGCUAAAAAUUUUGUUUUUUUACAUAGAGGGGCAUUUUUGUCAUUCAAUCAAAAGUUAAACGGAGCCGUUAAACUUAACUUAGAAAAUAACGGAAUUGGGGGCGUGGUGCAAAAAUGUCAAUUUUUUUGGGUGCGCAGUGCAACAAGUCAAAUUUGUUGGGGACGCGGUGCAAAAUGUCAAUUUAUUUGGGGGUAGGUUACAAAUUUCCCUAAAUAUAAAUAUUAAAUAUGUGCUUAUUAAUGUAAUCUGACGGUCAUCGUUAUUAAUCAACGACGGAACAGCUCCACGGUAGCGAUUGCCUUUGUGAAAAAGUACAUAACUAGCUAGCCGGACUGCAGGAGUUGCUGGAGUCAUCAUCAUAUUUAUAUAUGAUACCGCAUGCAAAUCUGGCUGUUGCUGCAACCGUUGCACCGCACUACAUUUUUUCUUUUUCUGUAUUUGACAAAACCCGUUCGAUGUUAGAUUGUUUCAUCUAACGGCUGACAUUAUUUCUUGGGUCACUUACAUCCACUGGUAACUUCAAUUUUUAGAGAGAGCCUCUAAUCUCAUAUUCUCAUUCAAAACAUUUUUGGUUCUUCAAUUUCUAUCAAUCCAAAACUACUGUUUCGACAUGAAUUUCUCAUACUAUUCUUCCAUUACCCAUUCUUGGUUCUAUCGCUUUCAAUUGAUAGUAGUGCUCGAACAAAGUUGUUCCUAACCCUUAAAUAAUUUAUAACCAGUGUAUCGAUCGAUUCAUUUCUACUUUAAUCGACCAUUAUGUUGUUACCAAAUACCCCGGCGUUGUUAUCAUAAUGUUUACCUUUUCCUUAUGCUUCCAGGAAGGCAAAUUAGAAUGAAGGCAAAAUGUGACAAGCAAGUCGCGACGGAGCGGUCGGAGUAGGAGAGAGGCUCAUUGGAACUGUCAGUUUGUCAGCAACGAAAUACCUAACUUGCACAUUUUGUUACACCUACCCAUAUUUAAUAAUUAAUUUCUUCUUCUUUUAAUAUCAUUGAGGAUAGAUGUGAAGAUAAAUAAAUUUAUUUGAAAUGAUAUUUUUAUUAAAAAAAGAAAUAAAGGGGGAAGCUAAAGCAAAAUCGGCUGUGAGUUUUAUCUAAUUGAGAUGGUAAAAUCUUUUAUAUUGUGCUAUAUGAAAAUAAAAUAUAGAAGCAUUUAAGAAAAAGGUUAGUUAAGGUGUUAUUGAAACAAAUUUUAUUAAAAUAAUUAAAUUAAGUUUUUAUUUAAUAAAUGUUUUUAGAUUCAGUAUUCAACAACUUGAAAAUGGUACAAAUCUCGUCAACGACCAUGAUAAUAUUAUCUCAAAAAUAUUGACAUAAAAAUAUCGUUGAAUACUAAUAUCCCAAAAAUACCGUUGUAAGGAUAUUAUUGUAAAAAAAAAAGAAAAAUUAAGGGUAGGAACGUAAUAUAUUUAAUAAUAGGGGCGUCGUAAAUUAUGUUUUAAAUUAGGGUGAGGCUAUUUGAAGCCACUAAAUUACUCAUUAAACUCAUUUACUAAAUAAACCCACAUUUAAAUUUUAACAUUUUAAAUUUUACUCAAUAAACCUAUAUAAAUACCCAAUACACUCUUCUUAAACCCUUUUUUUUAUAAUAAUACUAUUUUUACUUAUUAAACCCAUUAAAUUCAUUUAUAAACCCUUAAUAAAUGUUUCUUUUUUUCCCAUUAAACUGAAGAUUUUCUUUAUGAAUAUGAUUCUAAAAAAAUAGUUACAACACAUAUUCAUCUUUUUUUUUUUUUUCAAAAAGAAGUUUAUUACAGCACAAUUAGUAACUACUAGACCUUUUUCAACCUAUUUUACACCAUUUAACAAUGUCUCAACCUUUGAUUCAAGAUGAAAAUUAUACAAAUUCUUCAUGGAGGCAACAAACAAACAAUAUCUAUCAUUGCUUGUGCAGUAAUCACCAACAUAAAAAAGAAUUGCUUUAUGGCAAAAAUAAGAAUCGCUUUAUGGCUGUAUACAACACUAUUUGUCUUUUUUUUGUAAUUACUCAUUACUCUUGUUGUCACACUCCAGUUUUUAGAAAUUCAAAAAUGAUCAAUGUUGCCGACUAUUGCUUAAAAUGUGUAAAUACAAUCUCUUCAAUAGAAAUAUAUGACAUUUUAUGUACUUUAAAUUUCCAUUUAUUUAAGAUCCCUUAGGCUCUGAAAAAGGCAUGUCAAUGGCAGAAGAUACUGGAUUCUUCAGAGUCAUGUAGGCUUUCUUGUAAUUUGGCCUAGCAACCAAGAGACCCUCCCUUUUUUCCUUCUUCCCCUGCAUAUUCAGCGUUCUUACCUUCUCAAUAUUUCACUGCAACUUUUGAUGGCGACAGGGGCUGAAGUGCAUAGAAGUGGUUUAGAGAAGUUUUUCAACAACACUACUUGUCAUUGAUUGUUGCCCACUGUCAAACGAAAACAAAGAUGUAACCACCAACUUUAUUAUCCUGAAUCUAAUCACAUGAGCCUAAUUAACAAAAAUAUGUAGUUUGGAAGAAAAAUCAUGUCUCUAGUUGAUUAGGGUUUGACAAAAAUAUGAUUAGGGUUUAACAAAAUUAUGUUGAAUGUAAAGAUGGGUUCAAAGAGUAAAAAUUAUGUUUUUUUUUUUCCUUUUUUUACUAGAUUUUAAUGUCCAUAAUUGUAAUAUUAUUUAAGGGUAUUUUAAUAUUUUUUUUAAAUGGGUUUAAUGAGUAGUUUGGUGGGUUCAAAUAGCCACAUCCUUUAAAUUUUAAAAUAUAGGGAUUAACGUGGAUUUCUACCAUUUUAACUAAAUUCAAUUGUAACCACUACAAUUCAUGAUUUAAACAAAAAUAUCAAUGUAAAAUAAUUUUAUAAUAAAUAAAUGUUGUUGUUUAUAGAUAAAUAAUAGUUUUAAUUUUAAACUGUAAAUUG